rnacentral:rRNA from 1 species
UACGGAGGGUGCAAGCGUUGUUCGGAAUUACUGGGCGUAAAGGGCUCGUAGGCGGCCAACUAAGUCGGACGUGAAAUCCCCAGGCUCAACCUGGGAACUGCGUCUGAUACUGGAUGGCUUGAAUCCGGAAGAGGGAUGCAGAAUUCCAGGUGUAGCGGUGAAAUGCGUAGAUAUCUGGAGGAAUACCGGUGGCGAAGGCGGCAUCCUGGACCGGCAUUGACGCUGAGGAGCGAAAGCCAGGGGAGCAAACGGG